rnacentral:rRNA from 1 species
UUCCGGUUGAUCCUGCCGGACCUGACUGCUAUCGGAUUGAUACUAAGCCAUGCGAGUCAUUGUAGCAAUACAAGGCAGACGGCUCAGUAACGCGUAGUCAACCUAACCUAUGGACGGGAAUAACCUCGGGAAACUGAGAAUAAUGCCCGAUAGAACACUAUACCUGGAAUGGUUUGUGUUCCAAAUGAUUUAUCGCCGUAGGAUGGGACUGCGGCCUAUCAGUUUGUUGGUGAGGUAAUGGCCCACCAAGACUAUUACAGGUACGGGCUCUGAGAGGAGUAGCCCGGAGAUGGGUACUGAGACACGGACCCAGGCCCUAUGGGGCGCAGCAGGCGAGAAAACUUUGCAAUGUGCGAAAGCACGACAAGGUUAAUCCGAGUGAUUUGUGCUAAACGAAUCUUUUGUUAGUCCUAGAAACACUAACGAAUAAGGGGUGGGCAAGUUCUGGUGUCAGCCGCCGCGGUAAAACCAGCACCUCAAGUGGUCAGGAUGAUUAUUGGGCCUAAAGCAUCCGUAGCCGGCUCUGUAAGUUUUCGGUUAAAUCUGUACGCUCAACGUACAGGCUGCCGGGAAUACUGCAGAGCUAGGGAGUGGGAGAGGUAGACGGUACUCGGUAGGAAGGGGUAAAAUCCUUUGAUCUAUUGAUGACCACCUGUGGCGAAGGCGGUCUACCAGAACACGUCCGACGGUGAGGGAUGAAAGCUGGGGGAGCAAACCGGAUUAGAUACCCGGGUAGUCCCAGCUGUAAACUAUGCAAACUCAGUGAUGCAUUGACUUGUGGUCAAUGCAGUGCUGCAGGGA